rnacentral:rRNA from 1 species
AGUGAACGCUGGCGGUAGGCCUAACACAUGCAAGUCGAACGGCAGCACAGUAAGAGCUUGCUCUUACGGGUGGCGAGUGGCGGACGGGUGAGGAAUACAUCGGAAUCUACUUUUUCGUGGGGGAUAACGUAGGGAAACUUACGCUAAUACCGCAUACGACCUACGGGUGAAAGCAGGGGAUCUUCGGACCUUGCGUGAUUGAAUGAGCCGAUGUCGGAUUAGCUAGUUGGCGAGGUAAAGGCCCACCAAGGCGACGAUCCGUAGCUGGUCUGAGAGGAUGAUCAGCCACACUGGAACUGAGACACGGUCCAGACUCCUACGGGAGGCAGCAGUGGGGAAUAUUGGACAAUGGGCGCAAGCCUGAUCCAGCCAUACCGCGUGGGUGAAGAAGGCCUUCGGGUUGUAAAGCCCUUUUGUUGGGAAAGAAAAGCAGCAGGUUAAUACCCCACUGUUCUGACGGUACCCAAAGAAUAAGCACCGGCUAACUUCGUG